rnacentral:misc_RNA from 1 species
AUGAGAGCUUCACGAGUUCGCCGUCGGUUCCAAGCUACAUGGCAUCCACAGAAGCAGCCAGGGCUAGGUCCCGAUUGUCGAGUCCAAUGGGAACGGAGAAGACGGCGGCGUUUCCAGAGAAGGGACCGGCGAGUAUCGGCGCAAAGAAACGGCUGUCGUUCCCCGCCUCGCCGACAAAUUCGAGGAGGCACUCUGGUCCGCCGAAAAUAGACGCUAGUCCGAUCAAGAAUGUUGCAGAGAGAGAUUUUACCGGCGAGAGCA